rnacentral:rRNA from 1 species
AUGGCCGGCGCGGCGCCUCACGUCAUGGUGCUGCCGUUCCCGGCGCAGGGCCACGUCACCCCGCUCAUGGAGCUGUCGCACCGCCUCGUCGACCACGGCCUUCGGGUCACCUUCGUCUGCACCGAGCCCAUCCGCAAGCUUCUUCUCGAUGCCCUCGCCGACAACAAGAAGGCGCUGGACGGCAUCCGCCUCGUCUCCGUACCGGACGGUCUGGCCGACGGCGACAGCCACAGGGACCUAGGCAAGGUCCUGGCGGGGGUCUUGGGGCGCGUGCCGGGCUACGUGGAGGAGCUCAUCAGGAAGGCGGAGGCGUCCGAGGAGAAGAAGGUGCGGUGGCUCGUCGCCGACGCCACCAUGGCGUGCUGCUUCCAGGCCGCGAGGAGUCUCGGCGUCCGGGUCGCUUCCGUCUGCCCGUCGUCCGCGGCGUGCCUUGUCACGUCGCUUAGGAUUCCCCAGCUCAUACAGGAUGGUUUCUUCGACGACAAAGGCUUCCCGAAGAGACACGGGACGUUCGAGCUCGCCCCCGGUAUGCCGCCACUCCGUCCGACGCAAAUGACAUGGAACAUCGACGGCGCCCUCGAAGGACGUCGGGCAGCUUUCGAACUGGCGUUCGGGAUUGCUCAGGUGACCGACCUCGCUGAGAUAGUCAUGUGCAACUCGUUCCACGAGGCCGAGACCGGGGCGUUCGAGCUGUGCCCGGACAUAAUGCCCAUCGGCCCGCUGUUCGCCGACCAGGAGCUCCGGAAGCCCGUCGGGCAGUUCUGGCCGGAGGACGCGAGCUGCUUGGAAUGGCUGGACGCGCAGCCCGAAGGCUCCGUCGUGUACGUGGCGUUCGGCAGCUUCACCAUCUUCGACCCGCGGCAGUUCCGGGAGCUGGCCGAGGGGCUGGAGCUCACCGGCCGGCCGUUCCUGUGGGUGGUGCGCCCGGACUUCACCUCCGGCGGCCUCAGCAAGGCGUGGUUCGACGAGUUCCAGAAGCGCGUCGCCGGCAUCGGGAUGAUCGUCAGCUGGUGCCCCCAGCAGCAGGUGCGCACGCGGUGCACUGCCAAGAACUGUAGCAUCAUGUCAUGCGUUUUGGGGUCCAGCCAUGAUCUCCAUGCUAUCUCGACGGACAUGCAGGUUCUGGCGCAUCCCGCGGUGGCAUGCUUCGUGUCGCACUGCGGUUGGAACUCGACGAUGGAGGGGGUGAGGAACGGCGUGCCCAUCGUGUGCUGGCCCUACUUCUCCGACCAGUUCGCGAACCAGAGCUACAUUUGCGACAUUUGGAGGACUGGUUUGGACGUGACACAUGGAGACGAUGGCGUCGUGACCAAGGAGGAGGUGAAGGACAAACUGGAACGGCUCACCGGCGACAAGGGGAUUGCGGAGAGGGCGCGAAUGCUCAGGGAUGCAGCUCGCAAGAGCGUCAACGAGGGAGGUUCCUCGUACGAGAAUUUCAAGAGAUUUGUUGAUCUCCUGACGGAGUGA